UUAAGUUCAGCGGGUAUCCCUACCUGAUCCGAGGUCAACCUGGUAUAAAAUGAUUUUUUUGACGGCGGAAGACUCCCCGGGCCUGUAGGACGUUUUGAAAGAUUCUACUACGCCCAAAGCCGAGGUGACUUCGCCGAAGGUUUUGAGGCACGCCCACCCUCUCGGGGGGCGAAGGCCUAAUACCAAGCGGUGCUUGAUUG
rnacentral:misc_RNA from 1 species